AGUUGAAGUCCAAAACACCUCGAAGGCCCAAAUUUGCCCACGCCUGGAACAAAUAAUAUACUUUAACUUCUUAAACUUUCUGCACUGGCAACCCCUUUCCAUCCAACAAUGUUUUCAUGGCCCCAGGUCUAUAGGUAUACAAAUAAAAUAGAUAUAAAAAUGAAACAUUUACUGCAGCCUAGGCCAGGCAAAGCCGGAGAAAAGUCGGCCCUGCUUUUUUGAAAGCUGUGUCAUUGAAAACCCGCACUAGUUGGCCUCCAGGUGAAGGAAGCCAAAAAAUCCUCUCAGGAGAAGACCCCGCGGAGGGAUCCACUUGAGCCCCCUCACCUGGUCCACGUAAUCAGGAACUUCCUCGACGCUGCGGAAGGAGCUCUCGUUGGGCGUGAGCACAUAAAAGGCAGCUCGGCACUGCUGCGAAAAGGCGAGAGACCGCGGAGGGUUACUUUCUUUCAUCCUUAUUGCUCACUCUCUUUACUCUGGAAGUGGGUUUGCUGAAGACUGACGUUGUAAAACAUGAUGUAUAGGUGGGAUAGCUUUUCGCAUAGGAUGAAGACGUCAGUUUCUAGGCAAAU
rnacentral:lncRNA from 11 species